GAUGAACGCUGGCGGCGUGCUUAACACAUGCAAGUCGAGCGAGAAGCUACCUAUUGAACCUUCGGGUGAUUUAGGUAGUGGAAAGCGGCGGACGGGUGAGUAACGCGUGGGUAACCUGCCCUAUGCAGGGGGAUAACACAUUGAAAAGUGUGCUAAUACCGCAUAAGACCACAGAGUCGCAUGACUCGGUGGUAAAAACUCCGGUAGCAUAGGAUGGACCCGCGUCUGAUUAGCUAGUAGGUAAGGUAACGGCUUACCUAGGCGACGAUCAGUAGCCGACCUGAGAGGGUGAUCGGCCACAUUGGGACUGAGACACGGCCCAAACUCCUACGGGAGGCAGCAGUGGGGAAUAUUGCACAAUGGGGGAAACCCUGAUGCAGCGACGCCGCGUGAAGGAAGAAGGUUUUCGGAUCGUAAACUUCUAUCAGCAGGGAAGAUAGUGACAGUACCUGACUAAGAAGCCCCGGCUAACUACGUGCCAGCAGCCGCGGUAAUACGUAGGGGGCAAGCGUUAUCCGGAUUUACUGGGUGUAAAGGGUGCGUAGGCGGCGAAGUAAGUCAGAUGUGAAAGCCCGAGGCUCAACCUCGGGACUGCAUUUGAAACUGC
rnacentral:rRNA from 1 species